rnacentral:rRNA from 1 species
CCUAGGGAAACUUAAGCUAAUACCGCAUAAUGCAGCGGCUCGACAUCGAGACAGUUGUUAAAGGAGUAAUCCGCCUUUUGAGCAGCCUGCGGCAGAUUAGCUAGUUGGUAAGGUAAUGGCUUACCAAGGCUACGAUCUGUAACCGACCUGAGAGGGUGGUCGGUCACACUGACACUGAAUAACGGGUCAGACUCCUACGGGAGGCAGCAGUCGGGAAUUUUGGGCAAUGGGCGAAAGCCUGACCCAGCAACGCCGCGUGAAGGAUGAAGUAUUUCGGUAUGUAAACUUCGUAAGAAUAGGAAGAAUAAAUGACGGUACUAUUUGUAAGGUCCGGCUAACUACGUGCCAGCAGCCGCGGUAAUACGUAGGGACCAAGCGUUGUUCGGAUUUACUGGGCGUAAAGGGCGCGUAGGCGGCGUGGUAAGUCAGCUGUGAAAUCUCCGAGCUUAACUCGGAACGGUCAGCUGAUACUGCUGUGCUAGAGUACAGAAGGGGCAAUCGGAAUUCUUGGUGUAGCGGUGAAAUGCGUAGAUAUCAAGAGGAACACCUGAGGUGAAGACGGGUUGCUGGGCUGAUACUGACGCUGAGGCGCGAAAGCUAGGGUAGCAAACGGGAUUAGAUACCCCGGUAGUCCUAGCCCUAAACGAUGUAUGCUUGGUGUCUGGAGUAUUAAUUCUCCGGGUGCCGUCGCUAACGCUUUUAGCAUACCGCCUGGGGAGUACGCACGCAAGUGUGAAACUCAAAGGAAUUGACGGGGACCCGCACAAGCGGUGGAGCAUGUGGUUUAAUUCGACGCAACGCGAAGAACCUUACCUGGGUUUGACAUGCUGGGAAAAGCCGCAGAGAUGCGGUGUCCUUCGGGGCCCAGCACAGGUGGUGCAUGGCUGUCGUCAGCUCGUGUCGUGAGAUGUUGGGUUAAGUCCCGCAACGAGCGCAACCCUUGUCCUAUGUUGCCAGCGGGUAAAGCCGGGGACUCGUAGGAGACUGCCGGGGUCAACUCGGAGGAAGGUGGGGACGACGUCAAGUCAUCAUGCCCCUUAUAUCCAGGGCUGCAAACAUGCUACAAUGGCCGGUACAAAGGGCUGCUAUCCCGCGAGGGUGCGCGAAUCCCAAAAAGCCGGUCUCAGUUCGGAUCGGAGUCUGCAACUCGACUCCGUGAAGCCGGAGUUGCUAGUAAUCCCGGAUCAGCAUCGCCAGGGUGAAUACGUUCCCGGGCCUUGUACACACCGCCCGUCACACCACGAAAGUCGGCAACACCCGAAGCCGGUGGCCUAACCCGCAAGGGAAGGAGCCGUCGAAGGUGGGGUCGGUGAUUGGGGUGAAGUCGUAACAAGGUA